CGCCUCGUCCUCACUGUCGCCUCCACCGCCGUUGCCACCCGCCGGUGCAACUUCCGAUCGUCGCCACUCCAUGUGCCAAAGAACUCUUGAUUAGCAUUUCUGAGAAGCAGGGAAGGAAAAUGAAUUCUGCUGAGUCUGCGAAUGACAUUCCCAAAUUUGUUGAAUUUUUUAAGAAGAGCAGUAUUAUCUUAGAGGUAGAGGGCAUGGCCAGCAGCUCUCUAUGAAUGAAAGACAUGAGGCAACAGAGAUGCAAAAGGAAACACGAGAGCAUACUCCACAAGCAAACAUAUUUUCAUCAUCACACAACUGUAGAUUCUACUUCUCCAUCAGAUGUUUCAGCAAACUGAUAGAUUUGUUUUAAAUUUUAUGAAUAUUGUUAAGUAUAUGGAUUUGUUCUAAACUUUCGAUUUUGUAAACAUUGUGAAGUAUUUGUGUGUAUGAAUAUGAAUUAUAAUGAUUAUGAAUGACUUUUAAUUUAUA